rnacentral:lncRNA from 1 species
AUGACGGAAGAGAACACAAGAAAGGGAAUACACACAGACACACGCACAGACACACAUACACACACACACAUACACCACACAUAUACACACAGACACACACACACACCACACAUAUACACACAGACACACACACACACCACACAUAUACACACAGACACACACACACACACAUACACCACACACACACACAUACACACACAUAUACACAGACACAUAAACACACACACACAUAUACAUACAGACACAUAUAAAUACACACAGACACAUAUAAACACACAUGCACAGACACAUAUACACACAUGCACACAUACACACACACACACACAUACACACACACACAUACACACACACACACACACACAGACACACACACACGAAUGGGUCACUGCUGUACAGCAGAAAUUGGCACAGCAUUGUAAGUUAACUAUAAUUCAAAAUUUUUUAAAAGGCAAAUCUUCUCCAAAGACAGAAAGUGGUGGGGUGAGUGAACAUCUGGAGAGGAAACGGGCAUCUGCCACCCGCUCCCCUUUAGCCUGGGCUGGUAUUGCUUCUGUGUGCCCCGUUGUCACUAAGGGACAGCCCCCCGCCUCAACACCUCUGCUCUCGGUCAGAACAAGGGGCCUUGGGGCUCUUGCCUCCAUCUGGCCUGGGAGGGGCCGUGGGGCAUCUCGGGUUGCCAGCUGUGUGAUCUGGACAAGCCGCUCAACCUCUCUGGACCACAGGGUGGGGGCUCUGCAGGUGGAGGGCUGUGCCCCGAGCCCAUCACUCCAGAUAAAGUUCUAUUUACCAAUAAGGACGUGGCUCCCACGUCACGCAUUUACACAAACGUGUGUUCGUGUCUGUGGGUGGCCUACGUGUGGUCAGGAACGUGCACGGUCCAGCGCGGACACUCUGACCAAUCACUGCCUGGGCCCCGGGCCAGGUGCCUCCGGGACGAAGGCCCAGGUCCUUGUUGGUGGGGACCCUGCACUCCCAAGCCACAGCCCCUGUUCUCAUGGGCGGCGCAGCUCGGGUGGCCGGGCUGGAGGGGAGAAUUCUUGCAGUCAUCUCAUGUGCUCUGUGCACAGGGUUCGGGUCUCCUUCAGGUGGGUGAAGGGGCCAAAGUUACUGAUGAAUUUAUUUCGCUACGUGCGAUCUUUAUUCCCGCAAUGUGUUGCCUGCUUGCUGUGUCUGGGGUUUGGGAAGCAGAGGACAAGGAAAUCCAGCUGA